UACGUAGGGGGCAAGCGUUAUCCGGAAUUACUGGGUGUAAAGGGAGCGUAGACGGUAGAGUAAGUCUGGAGUGAAAGGCGGGGGCCCAACCCCCGGACUGCUCUGGAAACUAUUCGACUAGAGUGCAGGAGAGGUAAGCGGAAUUCCUAGUGUAGCGGUGAAAUGCGUAGAUAUUAGGAGGAACACCAGUGGCGAAGGCGGCUUACUGGACUGUAACUGACGUUGAGGCUCGAAAGCGUG
rnacentral:rRNA from 1 species